rnacentral:rRNA from 1 species
CACGUAGGGUGCAAGCGUUGUCCGGAAUUAUUGGGCGUAAAGAGCUCGUAGGCGGUCUGUCGCGUCUGCUGUGAAAACUCGGGGCUUAACCCCGGGCCUGCAGUGGGUACGGGCAGACUAGAGUGCGGUAGGGGAGACUGGAAUUCCUGGUGUAGCGGUGAAAUGCGCAGAUAUCAGGAGGAACACCGGUGGCGAAGGCGGGUCUCUGGGCCGUAACUGACGCUGAGGAGCGAAAGCGUGGGGAGCGAACAGG